UGAUGCUCUUCGCACAGGCAACAAGUCACGGCUGCCCUGAACAGCCUUUUACCUGCAAGACAACUACCUAGAAGGAUCCCUGGAAUUAUUUUCAGCUAGAUCUUUCUCCAGACCUGGCCUAAAGUGCAGUCUCAAAGCUACUGAAAUGGCAAUAACCUCUAAAACUGAAGAAGACAGUGUUGGGAGGAAUACACAAGAGUUAGAACAGGAGUGAAAACUAACCUCUUAGUCGUCAAAUCUGCCAUUUCCAGAGAAGAAACAUAUUUAGUCAUGUCUUGAAAGCAGCAUCUUCUAAGAUCUAGUCUAUUAAGGAAAAUGGACCCAGGACUUGGAUCUGAAUUUGAGAACAAACAACAUGAUGGCAACUUUUCAGUCAUCGUCUUAGAGACCAAAACUCAUUCACUGUUCUAGAAUAAGAGACGACUGCUUGCUGGAGUCAGUUGGGCAGCCUGAAUCCUCAGCCACGAGGCCCCUUCCAGAGACCAUCCAAGUUCUUCCAUUCAGCUAGAAAUGGCUCAUGGAGUUCAUACAGUCUCCCAACCUGUGCACUAAUGGCACAUCAGAUUUUCAUAAGGCUGGAACUGCAGGCGUUAGUGGCUAAUAACCACCAUUGGUUGAAAUGUUAAAGCUCUGAAUUCUGUAGUAUCUUAGGUACUGUUCUGACCAUACCAAGUGCAAGCUUGCAAACCCUAUUCAAAAUACACUUACAGUGCUGUGAGACCUACAGGCUCCAUAGGCAUAGUCAGAAGAGGCUUGUAUGUAGAUAUUUGCCAACAGUGUUCGGCUGCAUUGUGGAAAAACUGGAAGUGAUCUUCUGCCAAAGGUGAUUUGGAAGCCAACCAAUCAAUAAAUGGUGCUCAGGUAAACACUUGUACUUAGUCAUUUAUUCCCUUCAAACAUUGACAAUAAGGAAUGUUCUAAUAAUUACUCAAUGUCAUAGCCUCCAGGAAAGAAAACAAUGGGCUGAGUUCAUCCCUGAUGUAACCGUGGUUAAAUUUGCCUUUUGCAGUUAUUUAAAACAUCUUUUAGAGAACAGCAAAUUGGGUCUGGCAUUGCAUUUAUUCAAAGACUAUGUAUGAGUAAGUCUUUAUUUCUAUCUGUCCUCUAAAGCCUCCUGAAAAAAUGUCAUGGAGUAUCAGGGGCGUUAAAUAGUGAAAUCUAUUUCUAAACACGUUACAUCUAUUUCUAUAAACCUUCCCCAAUUUCUCUUUGUUUGUUUUUAAUCUGAGUCCAAAUUGAGAUCCAGAAUUUAAAUUCUGGAUAUCUGUUUCUUUCAGCAAAUAACGGUACUGAAGUUAUGAUGGGAAACGAGUUGCAGUUUCAUCAAUUUUGCCUCCAUCCAAAUCCAUAUUAGCUAGCCCUGAAAAACACUUCUGGCAGGUCAUUUACCUUUAGUCUGUCAGAGUUUUGUUCAAAAAUAUGUUGUGGUGGUUUUGCUUGUUUGUUAACCAAAAUUGUUUGACUUUUCUUUCCAAAUUAAUUACAAAACAAGGGUCACUUAAAUGUUGCUUGUUUCAGUGACAUCCUGCUGUCUUCAAAGUGAGUUAAAGCUAUCCGAAUUUGGGACGAUAUUUGAAAUGCUGCUGAUGGUUUGGGGACAUUUGCUUUUUUGUUUCUUUUUCAAUCUUGGUAUACUUCCACAUGCUCUUUUAGUCCUUGUUGAUAAACUGAUUUACUUUAAAAAGUUUAAACUUUUUUGGGGACUCUAGCUUUUAGAUUAUUAUCAUAUUUACAAAGACGAGUUUGUCUGAAUCACCAAAGAUAUACUGAAAAAGGAUUUAAAGGAAUAAAGAGCUGAGAUCAGUGAGACCAUAAGUAAUUACAUCUUGAGCUUACUGAAAAGGGAUGUGUUUUCUGUAAUCACAGGUUGAGAGAAUGCUUUAGUCAUGUUCACUCUUUUGUUAACAAGUUCUCUAUGAAUGGAAAUGAAAAUUGACACCAAUAGAAAAAACAUUUUUCUAGAAAGCUCUUUCUGAUGUUCAAGUGCAGUGUCAAAUGUUGUUCGACAUUGCAUACUUUGUAAAAGAUUUGAAAUAUGUAUUAACCAUCUGGCAAAGUCACCUCUUUAAACCAACCAAGACAUUUUCUGCUACUAGUGUAAUGUCUUUUGAGCACCUUGUUAGAAAUCUUAGGCUUUUGUUUAAGAGACUUUAAAGGAGCAAGCCUUCAGUCCUGACCCUCCGUAACUCCUAUCAACACCCUUGUGCCUUCUCCCUCAGGACACCAAAAAUGACCCACUUAUCCAUCCAUUUGGUCAUUCUGUAUGAUUGGAUCAAAACUUAUGAGAUGUGCCUUUAGAUGUAUCUCUGUUUUAACUAUUUCUGCUAGUGUACUGAAAUAGCCUGUGUGGCUAUGGGCAAAGAUACUCAGCUUAUAAUUUUGUGAGAACAGAAGUCAGGUUUCUAUCAUUUUUUGGUCCUCUGAUGUUCUCUGCAAAGACCAGUCAGGGACAGGAAUGAGCCAUGUGGGAGACCUUGCACCUGCAGCACCACUUGUUCAUGCUGAAUUGGUUCAAGAUUAGAUAAAUCCUUGCUUCUCUUUGGAAAAAAAUAAAGCUGAAGGCCAGUCUGUUUCCCUCCUUCACAUGCUUCUGCCAUAGGGUAAAUGAGAACACCAAGCACUUCUCACAGGGACAAAUCAAGAAGGACCAUGUACACAUGUGGUCUGGUGUGUGUGUCGGGAGCAAAGAGACCUGGAAACACAUGGACAACCCAAACUUCCCCUAACCGGCAAAAGAAACCUACGCACUUGGAGUAUCUCCACACAGAAGUUGUUUUUGUUUUGAUUAAUUUUUUUUACUAUUUAUUUAUAUUAAAGUAGAUUUUGACUCCUCAAAUAAGGCUUAUUCCUUGGGGCAGGAAAGUAGUAACUGACAGAAGACAUGACAGUGUCAGUGGAAGUGUAUCUAUAGUAGGGUCGAUAGCCCUGGGGGAAGCACUCUUCUGAUUGAAAUAUUUAGGCCAGUAUAAAACUGGCAUGUGUUGGUAUAACUUCGUUCUGUUUAAACAGCUGGACAAGGGGAAGCCAGGGGUAAAGCUUCACUCUGCUCCUCAAGCUGCAAUGGUUGUUGCAGCCCCCAGCAGUUGUAACACGUGGGUGACCACAGUGGUCGGGGGCCAGAGGGCUGGAGAUCAGGUGUGCGGGCAGAGGGAAAAGUGUUUCCACAUGGGGCUGACAGAGCUUGCUUCACCAGAGUAGCAUCAUGUGUCAAGAAAGAAGAAUUCAAAACUAAGACAGGGACAGGAUGGAUGAAGAUGCCAACUGCUCUUCCUCUUACGAAGUUUUGGUACAUGGAAAUCAGCAAUAAUUUGACAGGACCGCAGUCAAGAAGGGCAGAAGAAAAAGGAAUCUGUCUCACCCUUUAAUCCAGUCCUUGGAAUAUGUUCAAAUAACCAGGGUAUGUAAGUGUAUAUAUACAUAUAUGUAUGCCUAUAUCUCUGUGUAUGUCUGUGUUUACCGAUAUAAUUUUUCAAUUGAUUAUGGUUUACCAGACAUUCUAUAAUGCCUUGGAAGUUACUAUUAUGGUUUACCUCAUAAAAAAAAUGUAGCCAGUUUUUAAAAUAUGUUGUUACCCAAUAUAUUAAAGGGGCUUCUGUGGAGCAAUGACACUCCAUUGCAUACAUAUGUGUUUCAGUAACUUAAGAAACUGAAUUAUUUACUGAAUGGAAUAUAAAUAUUUUUAUAUAUAUAUAUAUAUGCACACAUAUAUAAGAUUUCUGCUCCUAGUCUUCAUGUUGGAUGAAUUGCUAAAAC